rnacentral:tRNA from 1 species
UGGGGUAUAGCUGGAAGGUCAAGCAACAGACCGUUAAUCUGUGGAUGAAGGUUCAAUUCCUUCUCCCCCAGCCA